AGGUGGAUUCAGCCGGAUCAGGGCAAUGUUAAAAUAAAUGCAGAUGGUGCCGUUGCAAAGAACCUGAACCGGGCCGCGGUCAUUGCUGCAUGCAGGGAUGAGAACGGUGUUUUCCUGGGUGCGUCGGCAGUGAUUUUUGAUGGGGUGGUUGAUCCUCCUACUCUCGAAGCACAUGCAUGUAGAGAAACCAUUGCCUUGGCGGACGACUUGCAUGUAAAUAAAGCUAAUGUUGCAACGGACUGUCUGAGUCAUCAACGAGCUUCGAGAAGCCACAAACUUCGGCCCCUACUGCAUGAUUCUCAGGGAUAUUCAGACCCGGGCAGAGGUACUGCAAGAUGUCUCCUUACUCCUUUAGACAUGAACAGCGUGAGUCCAAUAGUGAACCACAUAGAGUAG
rnacentral:rRNA from 1 species